UUGAUUAGAGUGUUACCUAUUUGCAGCGGCAUACGCGACGCUGACGUGACGCUGCAGUAACGCGCCCGGUGGAAAUCAGGCUUUAGUCACACACCUCAGUAAAAGGAUUUUGCCAGAAAGAGUAACCUGCUACAAGUAACCCUAGUAGAAUUUUCAAAAUGUAUGAUUUUUUUCUCUGUCUAAAUGUGCUUUGUUUCUAUUGUUGCAGGUCAUACAAUAUUGAAAAUUAUUUUUUCUUUUUAAGGAGCAACAGAAGAAUACAAGCCAAAGAGGAGGCCGUAGCCUGUGAAUGGGAAUAUCAAGACCUAAUAAAAUGUUAUACAAAAUUAAUGUUCUUUUCUAUUAGACUGUAAUAAAGCUUUUGUCACUUUAACAUGUCUCUAAAUUAUAUUUGUGGUGCUGAAAACAUGAAACAGCUACGGAGCCCCAGAGAUGACAUGGGAAAAAAAAUAAAUAAAUAAAUAUUUCGUUCCCACGAAUUAGUAUUUCGUGGCCACGAGAUACUAUUUCGUGGCAGCUGUUUACAGACAGGCUGGAUGACGUGGUUCACAUAGUGGUGAAGAUCGCUGGCUUGAAUAGAUGGAUUAAUGUGAGGAGAUCAUUGCAAAAGUUUUCAAUUUCAUCAGAGUCAGAUGUGCUACAUGUGUUGAUAACUGGACGGAGUUAAUUAUGGACUAUUUCACCGCACCGGUAGGUGAGGAGACGAGAGGAGAGAGAGACAGCGGGACCUCCGGCUAGGACGCUAACGGUCCGGCUAACGUUAGCCAAGAUCAUGACGGAGAGAGUGAGUUGGGGGAAGAUGAGGAGGAAGAUAUUGCGCUCAUGGAUGAGCCGAUGGUAGCAUACAAUGUCUCUGACUGUAGUUAUCUAAACGAGGACAAUGUUAAAGAGACUGUGAUAGCUCGGGAGUACAAGUGGAGCCGCAAGCUUCACAACAGCGGCGCCUGCUAGCUGCUGUUCACCGGAGGAGACGUGAGAAGACGUGACCCAGUUAAAGAGAUGACUGAUGAUGAAAACAUUUGGUCCAUCUUGUGAAGCUCCAUACGACUCUAUGAGAGGAUGCAGUGUGAGAAGCAGCAACACCAGCGGACUGCCUACUUCCUUGAUGCAUGUGACAGUUUAAUUAUGAAAUAAUAAUAAAUAAAUAUGAAAUAAUAUAAAAUAUAUUCUGUAUUAUUAUUAUUAUUAUAUUAAAAGGGUCAUUGUCUGUAUAUAUAUUUUUAAUUUUAUGGAUAUGCACUUGUAAGUAAGUGUAAGUACAUGUGUGCACGUGGCUCGAUAUUUAAUAUUUUAUAAAUAUUCUUUAUAUUGAUAUUUUUUAAUUACUAUUAUAUUUAAAUACCCAUCAAACAUUCUGUAUUACAUCAUAUGUACAGUAUAUUUGUUCAUAUUUCAUCAUUGUUGUAUUCCAUAUGUUUUGGAUACUUGUCUACAUGGGCUUCUAGGCCUGUACUGUGUUGUGUAUGUGCUCGUGCACGAGGUCACGUGCACGUGUAUGUGUGACAGUAUGAAUAGACUACACAGAUGUGGGGUAUCAC